rnacentral:rRNA from 1 species
UACCCAAUCCCGACUCGGGGAGGUAGUGACAAUAAAUACUGAUACAGGGCUCUUUUGGGUCUUGUAAUUGGAAUGAGUACAAUUUAAAUCCCUUAACGAGGAACAAUUGGAGGGCAAGUCUGGUGCCAGCAGCCGCGGUAAUUCCAGCUCCAAUAGCGUAUAUUAAAGUUGUUGUGGUUAAAAAGCUCGUAGUUGAACCUUGGGCCUGGCUGGCCGGUCCGCCUCACCGCGUGUACUGGUCCGGCCGGGCCUUUCCCUCUGUGGAACCCCAUGCCCUUCACUGGGUGUGGCGGGGAAACAGGACUUUUACUUUGAAAAAAUUAGAGUGCUCCAGGCAGGCCUAUGCUCGAAUACAUUAGCAUGGAAUAAUAAAAUAGGACGUGUGGUUCUAUUUUGUUGGUUUCUAGGACCGCCGUAAUGAUUAAUAGGGACAGUCGGGGGCAUCAGUAUUCAAUUGUCAGAGGUGAAAUUCUUGGAUUUAUUGAAGACUAACUACUGCGAAAGCAUUUGCCAAGGAUGUUUUCAUUAAUCAGGAACGAAAGUUAGGGGAUCGAAGACGAUCAGAUACCGUCGUAGUCUUAACCAUAAACUAUGCCGACUAGGGAUCGGACGAUGUUAUUAUUUGACUCGUUCGGCACCUUACGAGAAACCAAAAGUGCUU